AAAUGAAUAGACGGGGGCCCGCACAAGCGGAGGAGCAUGUGGUUUAAUUCGAUGAUACGCGAGGAACCUUACCUAGACUUGAACGUAUUUGGAAUAAUUUGGAAACAGAUUAGCCAGCAAUGGCCAUUUACGAGGUGCUGCAUGGUUGUCGUCAGCUCGUGCCGUGAGGUGUUAGGUUAAGUCCUGCAACGAGCGCAACCCUUACCGUUAGUUACCAUCAGGUUAUGCUGGGGACUCUAGCGGAACUGCCGGCGCAAGCCGUGAGGAAGGUGGGGAUGACGUCAAAUCAGCACGGCCCUUACGUCUAGGGCGACACACGUGCUACAAUGGACGGUACAGAGGGCAGCUACACUGCGAAGUGAUGCUAAUCUCAAAAGCCGUUCUCAGUUCGGAUCGGAGUCUGCAACCCGACUCCGUGAAGUUGGAUUCGCUAGUAAUCGCUCAUCAGCCAUGGAGCGGUGAAUACGUUCCCGGGCCUUGUACACACCGCCCGU
rnacentral:rRNA from 1 species